rnacentral:rRNA from 1 species
UACAGAGGGGGCAAGCGUUAUUCGGAAUUACUGGGCGUAAAGCGUGCGCAGGCGGUUUUGUAAGCCAGAUGUGAAAUCCCCGGGCUUAACCUGGGAAUGGCAUUUGGGACUGCAAGGCUGGAGUGCGGCAGAGGAGACUGGAAUUCCUGGUGUAGCAGUGAAAUGCGUAGAUAUCAGGAGGAAUACCGAUGGCGAAGGCAGGUCUCUGGGCUGACACUGACGCUCAUGCACGAAAGCGUGGGGAGCAAACAGG